GCCUCACGUUGCGUAACGCGUCAUCAAACGUUCGCGAAUUUGUUUCGAGCGCGCACACACAUAUAUAAAUAAAUGUUACGAUCGUUCCCAUUGGCCGUCCGAUCGAAUUGCCGUUUGCGGAUUAUACACAUUAUAUUAUAAUGAUAUUCAUACGCACACGUACAUCCGUGUUUAGGACCGUCACCGCCAAUUCCUUUCACGACGAUAAUUUUUAUUUACAAUUUUUUUUUUUUGAGACUUCGGUCCGACGCCUGACGGGCCUCAAACACGUUUAUGACGUUUUGUAUGAAAGUCCACGUAGGUGGACGUAAACGAUUCGAUUGCGUUUUGGUGAACUUUUUGAAAUCGCCAUGCUUAUAAGUUAUAAACAUAGUAAAAUAAGGUUACCAACACUCAGAAAAUGCAAAUCGUUUAAGGCCACUGAACUGCCUUGAAUCAUGAAAUUAAUUUCAGCAAAACAUGUCUGUACCGGAAAAAGUUUAAUACUUUAAGAACAGAAGUAUUUCUAAAAGCUCUUUAGGUAAUAUUUAUUAUAAGAAGGUAUAUAUUAUUAUAUUAUACAGUUUUCAUGUAAUUAUAUAGUUAUCUAGAUUAUUUAUUAGAUAAUUGGUAUAUUUGGUGUCGUUCGAAUAUUUAGAUAAUACUAGUGUGAUUUUUAUUUCAGGCAUUUUAUUAACGAUUUACUUUUAUUAAUUAUUAACGAUGCGCUAAAUUUUUUUUCAAUUUAUUGAAACUUAUUUCUGUAUUUCCUGUUGUUUUCCCAAAUUUAGCUACAGAGAAAUAUAUUUCGGUUUUAUUUUACUUUACUAGUACUAUUAUUAUUAUUGAACAAACGAGGUCUUUAAUUCUAAUUGGUCAAAAAUAGUAGGUAGCUCACAUAUAUACUCUAUAUCGUGUUUGUAAUGACUGCUUAUAAAUUGCAUAUAAUGUAUUCAAGAUAUACGUGCAAUACGUUCUAAAAUAAUUUUAAGAUUUUUAAACUGAAAUUUUGCA